rnacentral:rRNA from 1 species
AUUGAACGCUGGCGGCAGGCCUAACACAUGCAAGUCGAACGAGCGGCGGACGGGUGAGUAAUGUCUGGGUAACUGCCCGAUAGCGGGGGAUAACUACUGGGAACGGUAGCUCAUAACCCCUACCACCAGAUGUGACCCGAUGGGAUUAGCUCGUCGGUGGGGUAACGGCUCACCUAGGCGCCGAUCCCUAUCUGGUCUGAGAGGAUGACCAGCAACACGGGAACUGAGACACGGUCCAGACUCCGACGGGAGGCAGCAGUGGGGAAUAUUGCACAAUGGGCGCAAGCCUGAUGCAGCCAUGCCGCGUGUGUGAAGAAGGCCUUCGGGUUGUAAAGCACUUUCAGCGGGGAGGCGUUACCCGCAGAAGAAGCACCGGCUAACUCCGUGCCAGCAGCCGCGGGAAUAC